ensembl:lncRNA
AACAUUAGAAGAUAGCUCACAGGAGGGGAUAUUUUCAAAAGAGAUCCAGAGGAUUUUGUUGUGGUGAAAGUUUUGGGGCUGCAAGCAUACGGCUUCUCGCUGGUUAAUAGAUGCUGAUUUGGGCACCCUGUGGUUAUUGUCCUGGUGUGUGAGAUGUUACCCAUGACUUAGACCAUGUUUCCACACUGAUUCAACCAAAGGCGUGAAGCCAGUGCACAUGACCUAGGGCUGUUAGGUGUUUCCCAUGCAGAUGCUUUCAUUUAGCACCGAAGUUGCAUGAAAGGAGCUCAUUGUGUCCUCCUCUUCCUGUGGGUAAGUCCCUCACGUUGCGAGCAAGUUUGUCAUGAAACACCACCACAAAGGACUUCUUAGCAUCGCUUUAGGAAAAACUUUAUCUCCACAGCUUCACUAACCAUACAGCCGGACCCUUGGCUGCUGUCAACAGAAACUGCAUAGUCGUAACCACAGGGGAAAGACAAAUCUGUAUAUCCUUAUUAAUGAUUUUGCUUAAUGUUGUACGAAAUAUCAUCUUCAUCUCCAGCCCCCAAAGCAUCUGAGUCUUUGAGCACAGCUAAAAUUAGCAAGGGAGCCCUUUGGGAGCAGCAUUCCUAUGGGUGGUGGUGAGCUGCCUGCCCAAGCAGGGGUCCACCAGUGCAAGCUGCCGUGGGGAAGCUGCUGCUGUGAAGACUGUGAAUGACACCAUCCUUCCUGGACAGACAGCAAACCACCCCAGUGCAGGUGUGAAGAACGAUGGAGCAUUCCUGGGUCCUACCAUAAAGGGAGCUUUCAAGGGUGAUCUAAAAUGGAGGUACGCCCUAAUUCAGGGUGGAAGAGGCACCAUGUGCCCACCAGUUCCACUGAAGUCAGCAGGAGUUCAGCACCUCUCCCACUGAGCCUCCAGGAGUUCUCCAGGCAGGAAAGCGCAAGCUGGCUCCUAGUGAGGGAUCUGACUUUACCUUGUUUUGUGAAGUGGUGGUGAGAAAAAGAGGCAGUGAUGGGAAAUGCAAAUAUCUGCAACACAUCAGCGCCUCAGCACGGAAAUUGUUUUGAACCUGCUCAUCCCUUGCAGUAUCCAAGCAUGCAGAUAAAGGAGCAGUGUGACUGUGACAUGUGAUUCAUGUGGGCUUUGCUGCAAAGACCAACUGCUAUUCUGGAUAGAAAUGCUGCUGAAAAGUCUCGUUGAAUAAAGAGUUUUU